CUCCUGGGGGUUUUAUGACCGCCUUUUUCAGGGGUGGACUGUUGGGCCACCUGAAACACACACAAACACACACAUGUCGAUGGUUAAGCACGUUGGAUAUUCACACACCCACAGGAAGCCACCUGCUAACUCCCUGCCUGUGUGGUCAUGAGGAGACCUCACCACCAGUCGGUCAAAUCUGUAGAACACAAUGUGCUGCGCGCAUCCUCGGAUAUUGUGUGUUCCUCUGCCAUGACUACCUAGUCCAAGAGUAAACCCCACCUGCCACAGGGCCCGUGGCCUAGGUAUGGGGGGUUGAGCUUUCAACCCCAAACAAACAACUGAUUCUGGAGACUGGACUUAGGUCUCUCACGAUUCACUCCGGUAGAAGACACGGUGAUUCUAUCUCCCUUGACGGACAGAAUGAUCGAAGACACAGGGCAUGGCGUGUGCCACCCUUUGGCAGGUCUGCUUGAAGUCAGGGAUAAGGGAUGCUUCCUGUGACAACUUGAAUCGCUACUCUUGCCAUUUCAUUAGGCAACUUCCAAACACAAAUUCAUACAGAGAAGUUACCUUCCUCUCUACCGCACUAGCAGGCUGGCGCUGAGAUGGGCAGGUGCUGCAGCAGCCCCGCUGGAAGCGAUGCAGCAUCCAGAACGACGGAGGAAGGGGCGGAGAGGGACCUCCGCUUUCCAGGCUGCCUUUUAUACUGCCUCUGGUCACCUGACAUGGAACGUACCCUAACCUAAUCAGUUACCUGUACCUUAAUUGCAAUUAACUUAAUCCAAUUACAUGACCUGGAAAGGUCUAUCUGCACAGCCCACUCUAAGAUCCUGUCCACUGCUGACAGACAUUCUAAAACCUACUUGUACAGCUGCAAGCUUUGAACAAUAGAUGUUCCCCGUCAGACAUGUAACACUGGUGCCUGUACCCCUGUCUUCCUUUCCAUCUUUUUUGUUGUUUUGUUUUGUUUCGUUUUAAAAAAUGUGGUAAAAUAGACACCUUUUAAUUGGACCACAUUUUGUCUCUCUCGACGUAGGCCUCAGUGUCAUCAAGGAGACUCUCCUUGACAUGCAGUCACGGCCAUGAUCCAUCUUCAGAGCUUCUCUUUCUUCCCCAAGGCUGGCGCUGAGAUGGGCAGGUGCUGCAGCAGCCCCGCUGGAAGCGAUGCAGCAUCCAGAACGACGGAGGAAGGGGCGGAGAGGGACCUCUGCUUUCCAGGCUGCCUUUUAUACUGCCUCUGGUCACCUGACAUGGAACGUACCCUAACCUAAUCAGUUACCUGUACCUUAAUUGCAAUUAACUUAAUCCAGUUACAUGACCUGGAAAGGUCUAUCUGCACAGCCCACUCUAAGAUCCUGUCCACUGCUGACAGACAUUCUAAAACCUACUUGUACAGCUGCAAGCUUUGAACAAUAGAUGUUCCCCGUCAGACAUGUAACACUGGUGCCUGUAUCCCUGUCUUCUUUUCCAUCUUUUUUGUUGUUUUGUUUUGUUUCGUUUUAAAAAAUGUGGUAAAAUAGACACCUUUUAAUUGGACCACAUUUUGUCUCUCUCGACGUAGGCCUCAGUGUCAUCAAGGAGACUCUCCUUGACAUGCAGUCACGGCCAUGAUCCAUCUUCAGAGCUUCUCUUUCUUCCCCAAGGUAAGUCUGUCAGCAGAGAACCCUGACCGCACCCUCAUGUGUUUUCUCCCCCAGGAGGCGCUUGGAAACCACCGUGAAUUGGACCGCACUGGGAAACACAGAUGAGGAAAGUCAACAACGCUUUGUCCUUCAGUGCCUGGCUCCUUUUUCAGCUCGUCUUGCGACUCCCGGACGCCUGUGAGGCUCUAAUUCCCUGGGUCCCAUUGCCAUGUCUCUGGAUUUGCGAAGAUCCACCGCACCUUCUGUGGAACUCCCGUGUCGGUGAACUUUUGUGCCACGGCCCCUAAUUCUGCCCAUGGUCAUCCGCACCUGCACGACUUAGGGUCCAUGUUCCUUGGACGGGAAGAGACAGGCAGGAGUCGGAAUGAUGAACCAGCACACUGGGGCGUUUUCUCAUGUAGCCCAAGUGACCCCAUGGUCUUCUCGAGCUUUGGAACCAGUCGCGUCCCCUUUGACACUGCACCCGGCUCCCAGUCUCUCAAUCUUGUUGGCCCUCCGGCGAUCUCCCGUUGGAUGAAUUGCUCCUGCUGAAACUCCAGUCCCCUUUGAUUUACGCUUCAUUAAUUAUUCAUGAUUCAGGUUGGAAGGCCUGCUGACGACCCCCUGUGGCCGUUCUCUGAGCUUUCCUGUCACAUCGUUUCCUUCCACGCUCUUUGGUUCCUUAUGGUCCUGCUCCCUCUGCUGUCAGAGGAGCAGAGAGUUGAUCUUAUUCAUUCUGGAUACGGAUACUUUCUAGGUGAUCUGGAUAAUCAAGAUAACGACCCUCAACAGCGGCGGAGAGGGAGCAGCCAGUUGGUGUGUCUCAGAAAAUCCCACUGAGUUCCGAGGCCUCCUAGAUGUGGAAUCCUGCUGAGAGUUGUUCCCAGGUCAGAGAAUGGAGAGAGCCUGUGCAUGAUGGGAUAUCCCCGCCUAGAUCUUUCAGUGAGUCUCUACCUCAGCUACUCUUAGGAUCAGGGGGAGAACCAUGGUGUCAGACAUCCGGAAAGAAGACGGGAUGAAUGUUUUACCUCUGAAGUACAUCCCAAAUGUGGGAGUUAACUUCAGCUUUGCUGGGGUCUAUUUGGCCAGUGAAACUCUGCCUGGUUCCUUCGCACAUCCGGAAGCCACUUCACGGGGGGCCGUCGCAACUGGAACCACACACUUGGCAUCGGCGGUUGAGCCAAAUGGGGACUCGUGGUGCAAGCAACGCUCCCCACGUGUUAGCGUGCGUGAGAUGCGGUUGGCGGAAUUUUACUAGGUGCGUGUUGGUAGAGUGGGGCUGAGGUUUUCUUGCUCCUGUGGAUGUAUAGCAAGUCAAAGGUCCUGCCCAGCCCUGCGGUCCCCUCAGUCAACUCUGUUUCGGAGACGUAACGAUUUGGAUUGCCAACAAGUCAAGAAAUGUUCAAGCCCUUGGAUGUAGGGUAAAGAAAGAGAGAUCAGACUGUCACUGUGUCUAUGUAGAAGGGGAAGACAUAAGAGACUCCAUUUUGAAAAAGACCUGUAGUUUAAACAAUUGCUUUGCUGAGAUGUUGAUCAUUUGUAGCUUUGCCGCAGCCCCUUCCUUUGACCCAACUUGGAGCUCACAAAAACCUGUGUUGUAUAAAAUCGAGGUUUAAGGGAUCUAGGGCUGUGCAGGACGCGCCUUGUUAACCAAAUGUUUACGAGCAGUAUACUUGGUAGGAGUCAUUGCCAUUCCCUAGUCUCAAUAAACCAGGGGCGCAAUGCACCGUGGAAAGCCACAGGGACCUCUGCCCUUGAAAGCAGGUUAUUGUCCAAGGUUUCUCCCCAUGUGACAGUCUGAAAUAUGGCCUCGUGGGAUGGGAAAGACCUGACUGUCCCCCAGCCUGACACCCGCAAUGGGUCUGUGCUGAGGUGGAUUAGUCAAAGAGGAAAGCCUCUUGCAGUUCAGAUGGAGGAAGGCCACUGUCUCCUGCUUGCCCCUGGGAACUGAAUGUCUCGGUGUAAAGCCCGAUCGUACAUUUGUUCAACUCUGAGCUCGGAGAAAAGCUGCCCUGUGGCGGGAGGCGAGACAUGUUGGCAGUAAUGCUGCCUUGUUAUUCUUUACUCCGCUGAGAUAUUUGUGUGGAGAGAAACAUAAAUCUGGCCUACGUGCACGUCCAGGCAUAGUACCUUCCCUUGAACUUAAUAAUGAUAUGGAUUCUUUUGCUCACGUGUUUGUUUUUGUUGUUGCUGUUGAACUUCCCCUUAUUAUCACCCUGCUCCCCUACUGCAUUCCUUUGUGCUGUAAUAAUGAUAAUCAUAAUCAAUAAAAACUGAGGGAACUCAGAGGCCGGUGCCGGUGCAGGUCCUAGGUGUGCUGAGUGCCGGUCCCCUGGACCCACUGUUGUCUCCCUA
rnacentral:lncRNA from 1 species